CUCUGCUCGAAGCCGACUCCUCCUUCCCCGAUCCCCUCUACUUCUUCUCGCUGCCUCUCUCUCGCGGGCGACCCGACGCCGACGACGCCAGGGAGCAGAUUGCCGGCGGAGGUCUUCUUCUCUAGAGUCUCACCAACGUCAAGCUUCCUUGGCUACCGGCGACUGAUUCUUCUCGCCUCUGAUCGAUCGUGCGUGCCGAGCCCUAGCUCCUGUUCCGGCACAUUUGGAUUUAGCUUAGAUCCGGUCGAUGCCUUUCGUCUCCGAGCUGUAGACAUCGCAUCGCGCCUCCCUUCUUGCUGGAUUUGGACAGCGACACCAUCGGGAGGAAUCCAGAGAGCUUCAAGCCUUACCCUUUGAUUCUUCCUACUGACAUUGCGACAUCAGAUCUUGAUCCUCUUCUUUGAGGUUGAUUUAGGUCACGGAUUGGGUGACACCUCCUGGAGACAAUCGGUUGAGUGAGGACCUGUUCUGUGGAUUGCUUUAUGAUCCAACAAUAUAUUGUUUCAACAGCAACUCGAUUAGAGCAGUGAGGUCCUGUUGUUGUGGUGUUGGGAAGGUGAUCGUGAAGUGAUUUUAGCAGCAACCUUGAUCCAGCAAGCAAUAGGGGCUGUGAAUCGAGGACGCUGAUUCGAGACGGGCGUCUCGACCUCAGAUUUGGAUUGUACCUUCUAUUUGAGGC